CCUCGCGCACGCUCAGACUCCUGGGAGUUGAAGUAUCAAUUCAAGUUAGACUAGAACCAUGGCGGUGACCAAAGAGCUCUUACAAAUGGAUCUGUACGCGCUGCUGGGCAUUGAAGAGAAGGCGGCAGACAAAGAGGUGAAAAAGGCCUACAGGCAAAAAGCACUCUCCUGCCACCCAGACAAAAAUCCAGAUAACCCCAGAGCAGCUGAACUCUUCCACCAGCUGUCCCAGGCCUUGGAGGUACUGACUGAUGCUGCAGCCAGGGCUGCAUAUGACAAGGUGAGGAAAGCCAGGAAGCAGGCUGCAGAGAGGACCCAGAGACUUGAUGAGAAAAGGAAGAAAGUGAAGCUUGACCUGGAAGCCAGGGAGCGGCAGGCCCAGGCCCAGGGUACUGAGGAAGAGGAGGAGAGCAGGAGCACCACCACACUAGAGCAGGAGAUUGCUCGCCUUCGAGAAGAGGGUUCCCGUCAACUGGAAGAGCAGCAAAGGCUGAUCCAGGAGCAGAUCCGCCAGGACCGAGAACAGAGGCUGAGAGGAAGAACCGAAAAUACAGAAGGCAAAGGAACCCCCAAACUAAAGCUGAAGUGGAAGUGCAAGAAGGAGGAUGAGUCCCAGGGUGGCUACUCCAGAGACAUCCUCCUGAGGCUUUUACAAAAGUAUGGGGAGGUUCUCAACUUGGUACUUUCCAAAAAGAAGGCAGGCAACGCCAUAGUGGAGUUUGCAACUGUCAGAGCGGCGGAGCUGGCCGUCAGAAAUGAAGUGGGCCUGGCUGACAACCCUCUGAAGGUUUCCUGGUUGGAGGGACAGCCCCAGGGCACAGUGGACCCCAGCCCCCCAGGACUGUCGAAGGAUCGUAGAAACUAUCUGCAGCUGGGAGAACCACACCCCUGCUGAGCUCGAGGCAAAGCAUAGUCAGCUGCUGUGGGCGAUCUGGAGCAGCCCCCUCUCACACGUGGGAUUAACAUGAAAACAUUCAUAUUGCCGUGUUUGUUUCUAAAUAAACCAAAGUUCUAGCAUCAAAGAAGCCUCGUUCCUCACUAGUAAGUUUCAGCAUUUCACAUCAAAGAUCAUACUCUGUAGGUCAAAUAAGAAAAACCUUUAUUGGUUGCCUCCUGUUUCCAGAGGAGGCUUUAAUCUGGGCGCCUCUGCACGAGAGCAGGAAAGAGAUGUCACAGAUGUGGAUUUGUGAGGCAGUGUGUGUCACAGCUUCCUUUACCCUUCUUUCACACUUGAGUGGCCUGAAGGCCAGACCCACAUGGUCCAGUGCUUCUGGGCUCCAAAUUCAGAUCUGACCAAGCCACAGGACAGGGUAGUAGCACAGUUCAUAGCUUUAGUCUGUUUUGGGCAAGGCAAAGCCCCCACCGCCCGCCCCCGGCCUGUGGAGGGUUGUGGAGCCUCUUGGUGGUGCAUUGUCCUUUCCCUGGUGAGGUUCUCCUCUCUACGGUCUCUGCAGCCUUUCCCAGAGGCUCCCAUCCACAGUGCCUGUGGAAGUCCCCAGAGCUCUCCUUUACAACUGCCGGUUCCAGGAGCUUCUUCCUCGAGCGCUGGGAUCGCUCACAGAUCUGUGGGUAGCUUGAGUCUCGUGCUCUGUUUGCUAAUGAUGUUGGGCCUUUCCCCUGCAUUUUCCUCUGCCUACCUCUCCUGCUCUGUCAGCCCCUCCUGCACUUGCAGCCCAAGGCUGGCAUCUUUCCUUUCCUUACCCAUGCUUCUGAUGGUUACACUGUGUCUGGCCAUCCAGCGCCAUCCAGUGGACGCUGGUUUAACAGUGUCAGUGUUUAUGCUCUGUCAGUAGCUGUCAGUCAGGUGUGGCUGUUGAUGUAAAAUGUGCCUAAGUGGGCUGGAAAGAUGGCUCAGCAAUUAAGAACAUUUACUGUUCUUCUAGAGGCCCUGAGUUCAAUUCCUCGCACCUACAUCAGGUAGCUCACAACUGCUUGUAACUCUAGCUCCAGGAGCAUUAAGUCUUUGCCCUCUGCAGGAACAUGCAUAUACUUCGUGCAGGCAUGCACACACUCAAUUAAGAAUAAUCUUUUUCUUUUUCUUUUUUUUUUUUUUUUCCGGAGCUGGGGACCGAACCCAGGGCCUUGCGCUUCCUAGGCAAGCGCUCUACCACUGAGCUAAAUCCCCAACCCCAAGAAUAAUCUUUAAAAACAUCUUUAAAAUGUGUCUAGAGGGCUGGCAUGUGGCUCUUGGUAGAAUACUUGCUUAGCAUGCAUGAAGCCCGAGAUUUGAUUCCCAGUGCCAAAAAUCUGGGUGUGGUGACACACAUCUGUAAUCCCAGCACUUAGGAGGUGGAGGUGCAAGGAUCAGAAGUUCAACCCUCACUUACAUACAAGACCUUGUCUCAAAAAAAAAUUGACUAGGAUGAAAAGUAACUGAAUUUUUAUUUGUGUUUGGGUCUGUAUGGUGCAUAUGUAUGAGUGUGAGUGUGUGUGUGUGUGUGUGUGUGUGUGUGUGUGUGUGUGUGUGUGAGUGAGUGAGAAGUGGAGGUCACAGGCUGAUCUCAGGUGUCUUUCUCAGUUGUUUUCCAUGUUUUAUUUACUGAGGCAGGCUCUCUUGCUGGGCCUGAACUGUGCUGAUUUUGUUAUCUAGCCAGCCAGCUGCCCCGGGAUCCCUAGUUUCUGCACCCCGAGCACCAGAUGGGCUAGCGCACCUACCCACCUUUUUAAUGCUGGUACUGGAAGUCCAAACUCAGGCCCUCCUGCUUGCACAGUAAGCACUGCAUCCAGGGAGCAAUCCCCCAGCCUCUGGAGCUGAAUUUUUAGUUUGCUUUUCCUUCAUUAAACAGUCCUGUGCAGUAAGUGGUAACUUUUCUAGCCCUGUCUCUCGGACCUCUCCACUUUCCUCUCAUCUCAGUUAGACUACAUCUUCCUAGACUGUCCUGUGACUUCUCUGUUGAUGCGACCUUUAGAGGCUGGUCCAUGCAUGCCACUGUCUGCUCUGCCCAGUCUGAGCCUACUCCCUGGCUCGCCCCUGUGCUGCCCUGUCUCUCCACUGACCUCUGACUAGUUCUUGUGGUUGCAGGUUGUGGCUUCCUUUUCCUGGCCUUUCCAGCUUCCUCCGGGGCUCCUGCCAGAAAGUGACUCCCAUACAUUCCCGGCUGGCUUUUGUCCCUUCACUCUGGGCGACGCGAAGGAUUGGUCAGCAGCCAGAGGGCAGGGAGAACUGUGGCUUCUGGUCCCCACCUCUUCCUUAGUCCACAUUGUCCCUUCCUUCCCUGAGUCCCAGGCUCCACUCCUGGUCACCCCAGUUCUUACCCUUACCGGCUCAGAAGUGAGGCUCGCUUGGGAAUUGUUCCUUUAGUAUCUGUAGAACUUCUUCCAGGAGUGAAAGCCCAAGGUCCACUUUGAAGGAGAAGAAAGGGUCACUGAGAUCUGGAGUAGGUGUCCUCGGGAAAUGGGGAGUGUCCAAAAGGCCCUCCUCUGAGCAUUGGUGGAGGGGCCCUGUCAGGGAGAUUGCUGAAGGCAGGGUGGCCGAGUAGGCAGUGGUGUAGGUUGCUGGGGGCUCCAGAAUGUUGGGGCAGCUGGAGCUCUCUCGGUAGAGGCGUGGGGGCUUGGGUGGGGCCAGUAGGGUGGCUCGGGGAUGCUCAUCCCCCCACAAGGGCAGGCGCCGGCCAUCUGGCCUCCCUCGAAGUUCCCGGAUGACUUCCCGGUUGCUGUACUCCUCGUGGUCACCACCAGCAGUGCUGGCCUGGCUAAGUACGCUGCCUUGCCGCUGCAGCCUCCGAGGCCGCCCCAGGGUGAUUCGCUUGAAAAAGGAGGCAUUGCGGAAGGAGCCUUUCCGCCAAGUCUCCAUGGAGUUCCUGAGAGUCAUCCAGUGAGUCUGGCAUCUGGGAAGCCCCACAAAGGGGCUGAGCAAGUGACUUUGUGCUGGAGUUCCGAAUGCCAGCAACCAGGGGGACACCCCUCAAGGGCUCGCAGCCGAGGCUGUGCGUUUCUGCUGAAGGUGGACCUUCGUCUUUGUCUUGGGUGGUGAGACAAGUCUAGCAGGAGGAAGACUUCCUCUAGAUGAGAGCGCUGCAAGCUCCCACCUGGAGAAGAGCAGCUUGGUUACUUGAUUGGCGGCAUGUGGAAAACCCCAAAGGAAGCAAGGAAGCAGCAGUACUUACAGGGCAGGACAGGAGCAGAUCCGGCUGAGGGAGAGCUUCUCGGUGGGCAGGGCUGGAGCGCCGGCAGGGGAACCCUCCUUCCUUCCUCAGGCAGGCAGCAGCUGGGCCCUGCUCAAGCGCUCUCUGGUGGUCCCUGGCAUGUGUCGAUCUCCUGGCCAGUGUAGAGCUGUGCUCUGUCUGCCAGCAUCUGGGGACUCUGAUUAGUGGGUUGGCUGUUUGUGCCAGCGUGUGGUAGAGAUGUGUUUUGUUUUCAGCUGACUCAGUCAGGUGGGAAGCCAGUUUCAGGCUCUGAGGUAAUUGCAGCAUCCACAGGCUGAGAUUGGGGCAGCUGUGACCAACACCCCAGGGCAGUAGGACGCUUCAGAUUCUUCUGGGACUGGUCUGGGGACAGCCCUGCUUGGUGUGUCACCGGGUUACUUCCUUUCUAGUCAGUGCUCAGCCACCAUGACCUCAGCAGGCCUGCCUGGCUCCCUGGCCCCAGAUGUCUCUGGGAGGAGCCCAAGGAGGGCUCAGUGCUGUCAGAAAGGGACUAUGAGAGUCUGGUCAUGAUGCGCAUGCGCCAGGCCGCUGAGCGCCAGCAGCUGAUUGCCCAGAUGCAGCAGGAAGAUGAGGGGCGGCCCACGUAGCCCCGACUUCAGCCUUCCCACCCCACACCCUUUUGAGUCAUCACCAAUAAACUUUUUAAAAAACA